GACGAGCGCUGGCGGCGUGCUUAACACAUGCAAGUCGAACGGUAAGGCCCUUCGGGGUACACGAGUGGCGAACGGGUGAGUAACACGUGGGUGAUCUGCCCUGCACUUCGGGAUAAGCCUGGGAAACUGGGUCUAAUACCGGAUAGGACUCCGGACUGCAUGGUCUGGGGUGGAAAGCUUUUGCGGUGUGGGAUGGGCCCGCGGCCUAUCAGCUUGUUGGUGGGGUGAUGGCCUACCAAGGCGACGACGGGUAGCCGGCCUGAGAGGGUGACCGGCCACACUGGGACUGAGAUACGGCCCAGACUCCUACGGGAGGCAGCAGUGGGGAAUAUUGCACAAUGGGCGCAAGCCUGAUGCAGCGACGCCGCGUGAGGGAUGACGGCCUUCGGGUUGUAAACCUCUUUCAGCAUCGACGAAGCGAAAGUGACGGUAGGUGCAGAAGAAGAACCGGCCAACUACGUGCCAGCAGCCGCCGUAA
rnacentral:rRNA from 1 species